rnacentral:rRNA from 1 species
GACGAACGCUGGCGGCGUGCUUAACACAUGCAAGUCGAACGGAAAGGCCCUGCUUUUGUGGGGUGCUCGAGUGGCGAACGGGUGAGUAACACGUGAGUAACCUGCCCUUGACUUUGGGAUAACUUCAGGAAGCUGGGGCUAAUACCGGAUAGGAGCUCCUGCUGCAUGGUGGGGGUUGGAAAGUUUCGGCGGUUGGGGAUGGACUCGCGGCUUAUCAGCUUGUUGGUGGGGUAGUGGCUUACCAAGGCUUUGACGGGUAGCCGGCCUGAGAGGGUGACCGGCCACAUUGGGACUAAGAUACGGCCCAGACUCCUACGGGAGGCAGCAGUGGGGAAUAUUGCACAAUGGGCGGAAGCCUGAUGCAGCAACGCCGCGUGCGGGAUGACGGCCUUCGGGUUGUAAACCGCUUUCGCCUGUGACGAAGCGUGAGUGACGGUAAUGGGUAAAGAAGCACCGGCUAACUACGUG